rnacentral:rRNA from 1 species
AUCCACGGAUGAAAGCAGGGGACCUUCGGGCCUUGUGCUAUACGAGCGGCCGAUGUCUGAUUAGCUAGUUGGUGAGGUAAAGGCUCACCAAGGCGACGAUCAGUAGCGGGUCUGAGAGGAUGAUCCGCCACACUGGGACUGAGACACGGCCCAGACUCCUACGGGAGGCAGCAGUGGGGAAUUUUGGACAAUGGGCGCAAGCCUGAUCCAGCCAUGCCGCGUGUCUGAAGAAGGCCUUCGGGUUGUAAAGGACUUUUGUCAGGGAGCAAAACUUACUGGUUAAUACCUGGUGAGGUUGAGAGUACCUGAAGAAUAAGCACCGGCUAACUACGUGCCAGCAGCCGCGGUAAUACGUAGGGUGCAAGCGUUAAUCGGAAUUACUGGGCGUAAAGCGUGCGCAGGCGGACUUUUAAGCCAGAUGUGAAAGCCCCGAGCUUAACUUGGGAAUUGCGUUUGGAACUGGGAGUCUAGAGUCUGUCAGAGGGGGAUGGAAUUCCACGUGUAGCAGUGAAAUGCGUAGAGAUGUGGAGGAACACCGAUGGCG